GAAUUUUGCGCAAUGGGGGAAACCCUGACGCAGCAACGCCGCGUGGGUGAUGAAGGCCUUCGGGUCGUAAAGCUCUGUCUGGAGGGAAGAAAUGAUUGGGAGCUAAUACCUCUUGAUCUUGACGGUACCUCUGAAGGAAGCACCGGCUAACUCCGUGCCAGCAGCCGCGGCAAUACGGAGGGUGCAAGCGUUGUUCGGAAUUAUUGGGCGUAAAGCGCGUGUAGGCGGUCUUUUAAGUCUGAUGUGAAAGCCCCGGGCUCAACCUGGGAAGUGCAUUGGAAACUGGGAGGCUUGAGUACGGGAGAGGAGAGUGGAAUUCCUAGUGUAGGAGUGAAAUCCGUAGAUAUUAGGAGGAACACCGGUGGCGAAGGCGGCUCUCUGGACCGAUACUGACGCUGAGACGCGAAAGCGUGGGUAGCA
rnacentral:rRNA from 1 species